rnacentral:tRNA from 1 species
GGGCUCGUAGUUUAGUGGGAAAACGAUACAUUUGCAAUGUAUAAUCGGGAGUUCGAUUCUCCCCGAGUCCA